CCCGGUUCUUAAUUCAAGAAAUUCAAUCCAAUCCUCGACUCUCACGGGUAGCGAGAAUUUAUCCAAACGCAACCUGGAGUCCAUGGCUUUCACUCGAUUGGGAAUACAACGAUCUAACACGUCUGGUCUAACUAAAGAAGGCGCAUGCAAAUGCUCCAUCAUCCAUAACUGCAAUAUCAGGUUACUGCCCUCAAAAAAUCUCUUUCCCCCCUUCACUUCGGUUAAAGCCUUGUAUAUUUCUGUUACGAUCAUGGGUAUGAGACUGAACCUGCCCUUUUGAUUAAUGCCCUUGUCGUUUUGAUCCUUAUGAAAUAGGGCCAUCACCACGGAUUACAAACUGGUAUUAAUACGUCUUUCUUCUAAUGGAAACACUAAAGUACCUAACAAAGCGAGGGUGAAGACUU
rnacentral:lncRNA from 1 species